rnacentral:rRNA from 1 species
AGAGUUUGAUCAUGGUUGUGUUAUUCGCUGGCGGCGUGUCUUAAGCAUGCAAGUCGAGCGGCAGGCGCAGCAAUGCGCUGAGAGCGGCGGACUGGUGAGUAGCGCGUGGGUAAUCUACCUUUGGCAUGGGGAUAGCCACUAGAAAUAGUGGGUAAUACCGAAUACGUUCCCUGGGGGGAGAUUUCAGGGAAGAAAGGGUGCUACGGCACCGGCCGGAGAUGAGCUCGCGUCCCAUUAGCUAGUUGGUGAGGUAACGGCCCACCAAGGCGAUGAUGGGUAGCCGGCCUGAGAGGGUGUACGGCCACACUGGGACUGAGAUACGGCCCAGACUCCUACGGGAGGCAGCAGCUAAGAAUAUUCCGCAAUGGACGAAAGUCUGACGGAGCGACGCCGCGUGGAUGAUGAAGGCCGAAAGGUUGUAAAGUCCUUUUGCUGGGGAAGAAUAAGUGUGGGAGGGAAUGCCCGCAUGAUGACAUGAACCGGCGAAUAAGCCCCGGCCAACUACGUGCCAGCAGCCGCGGUAACACGUAGGGGGCGAGCGUUGUUCGGAAUUACUGGGCGUAAAGGGCAUGUAGGCGGUCUGGUAAGCCUGGCGUGAAAGGCCACAGCUCAACUGUGGGAUUGCGUUGGGAACUGCUGGGCUUGAGUUAUGGAGAGGGAGCUAGAAUUCCUGGUGUAGGGUGAAAUCUGUAGAUAUCAGGAAGAAUACCGAUGGCGAAGCAGCUCCUGCCGAUGACUGACGCUGAGUGCGAAGUGUGGGGAUCAAACAGGAUUAGAUACCUGUAGUCCACACUGUAAACGAUGUGGCCCUAGGUGCUGGGGCGUAGCUUCAUGCCGAACGAACGUGGUUAAGUGCACCGCCUGGGGAGAUAUGCUCGCAAGGGUGAAACUCAAGGAAUUGAACGGGGCCCCGGCCACACGCGGUGGAGCCAUGUUGGUUUAAUUUCUAAUGGGCCGCCGAGAGAGAGAACACUACACAUCCUG